CCCUCCUUGUGAUGGUUUACACAAUGGGAAUUGAAAAUGUGGAGGCACAAGAACGACUGCCAAAGCCGACCCUGACCGUGGAUCCCCCGUCAG